UGGGCCUCCCCAGUCGGUUAUCAUCACAAAGGGAAGCCCAAACUUAAUCCACUAACAAGGUUGGUCAAAGGACAGGCACCAGGUGUGGGAAGUCACUUAAAGGGAGCAACCGGUUGGCGUUGUGUUUACAGCAUAUAUGAAGCGGCAUCCUGGAACCAACCGGGCAGCACAGACGAAGAGGCGCUGCAGUGAAUUCCCAUGUUGCUCUGUGGAAUGCUGCACAGCAGCUGAGGACUCCAGGAACUCCCACCUGACUCCAGUGUCUGCUCACUACCGCUUCAUAUGUGACAGACACAUCUGGAUACGCAGCCCUACUUCUGCCCGGGGGACCAUCGCAGCCCAAAGAAGGGAAGAAUCUGAUCAUGCAACAUAAAAUGCAACUGCAGCAAAAAAGUAAGAAGAGGAAUUG